UCAUACAUAAUGGGGAGCUUGCGCAUGCAGGCUGAGAGGAGACUAAAUGCUGUCUCGACCCUAAAAACCUGAUUUGGAUAAUGCCAACGUGGGACUCAUAGCUUGCUGUUUA
rnacentral:ncRNA from 2 species